rnacentral:rRNA from 1 species
AGGACUAACGCUGGCGGCGUGCCUAACACAUGCAAGUCGAACGAGGUAGCAAUACCUAGUGGCAGACGGGUGAGUAACGCGUAGAUAAUGUGCCCUCUUGCGGGGGAUACCGUUUCGAAAGGAACGUUAAUACCGCAUAACACGGCUUAGGGGCCUCCCUAGGCCGUCAAACUUCCGGGGCGAGAGGAGCAGUCUGCGUUCUAUCAGCUAGUUGGUGAGGUAAUGGCUCACCAAGGCUACGACGGAUAACUGGUCUGAGAGGAUGAUCAGUCACACUGGAACUGAGACACGGUCCAGACUCCUACGGGAGGCAGCAGUGAGGAUAUUGCGCAAUGGGGGAAACCCUGACGCAGCGACGCCGCGUGGAGGAAGAAGGUUUUCGGAUUGUAAACUCCUGUCAGUGGGGAAGAGAAUGGACGGUACCCACGUGAGGAAGCGUUCGGCUAACUACGCGCCAGCAGCCGC